UGGGGAAUAUUGCACAAUGGGGGAAACCCUGAUGCAGCAACGCCGCGUGAGUGAUGACGGUCUUCGGAUUGUAAAGCUCUGUCUUUAGGGACGAUAAUGACGGUACCUAAGGAGGAAGCCACGGCUAACUACGUGCCAGCAGCCGCGGUAAUACGUAGGUGGCAAGCGUUGUCCGGAUUUACUGGGCGUAAAGGGAGCGUAGGUGGAUAUUUAAGUGGGAUGUGAAAUACCCGGGCUUAACCUGGGUGCUGCAUUCCAAACUGGAUAUCUAGAGUGCAGGAGAGGAAAGGAGAAUUCCUAGUGUAGCGGUGAAAUGCGUAGAGAUUAGGAAGAAUACCAGUGGCGAAGGCGCCUUUCUGGACUGUAACUGACACUGAGGCUCGAAAGCGUGGGGAGCAAACA
rnacentral:rRNA from 2 species